AUUGAACGCUGGCGGCAGGCUUAACACAUGCAAGUCGAGCGGAGAUGAGGUGCUUGCAUCUUAUCUUAGCGGCGGACGGGUGAGUAAUGCUUAGGAAUCUGCCUAUUAGUGGGGGACAACAUUCCGAAAGGAAUGCUAAUACCGCAUACGCACUACGGGGGAAAGCAGGGGAUCUACGGACCUCGCGCUAAUAGAUGAGCCUAAGUCGGAUUAGCUAGUUGGUGGGUGAAAGGCCUACCAAGGCGACGAUCUGUAGCGGGUCUGAGAGGAGGAUCCGCCACACUGGGACUGGGACACGGCCCAGACUCCUACGGGAGGCAGCAGUGGGGAAUAUUGGACAAUGGGCGGAAGCCUGAUCCAGCCAUGCCGCGUGUGUGAAGAAGGCCUUUUGGUUGUAAAGCACUUUAAGCGAGGAGGAGGCUACCUGGAUUAAUACUCUAGGAUAGUGGACGUUACUCGCAGAAUAAGCACCGGCUAACUCUGUGCCAGCCGCCGCCGUAACAC
rnacentral:rRNA from 1 species